AUUCUCUGCGCCGGUUGUGGGCACGUCUUGAUUUGCAGCGAUUUCAGUGCCAGAUGAUGGAUUUAUCGCUGACCUCGUUUUGCUAGUCACAAUUAGCUCCUGGGUUUCAGUCGUAUCGUCCAAUGGAGCAACUUGUUGCUUAGAUUGCAACAGAAAUUGACUGGAUCGUUCCUUGAAAAGUGUGCCGAAUUUCUCGAAAAAUGGUUCCUUUGCCAAGUACCUAUUAAUAUGUGAUUAGCUACGGAUUUCAUGGCCGUACACGUGAUUAAUAAUGCGUCAUGACGUUUACGACUCUGAGAAACAUUAUAAUACGCGUCGUCUGUGUAGUGAAUAAUUUGAUAUAACCAUGCAUUUGUUGCGCAACGAGAAAUUCCAGAAACCGAAGCGAGAUUUUUCUCUGUUUAAAAUGUUAUGAUGGGGAUUCCCAUUAGGUAUACUUGUAUUGUCACGAUAUUGAAAAAUUCACAUGGCAUGAACAUGGAGCUGUACCUAGCUAUGCGCGAUAAUUGCAUGUGAAAGCAAUCCGGUUUUUCUUAGCAGAACUUAUGAUGAAACGUCACUAGUUGAAAUUUAUAGGUGCUACCGGAAGAAAUGUUCAACGAAUUUCCUAAGGAAGCCUAGAAUCCCGAGCGUCGUCUGGUAUCUAUGAAUCACUGUACAGCAUGAACGUCAAACACAGCUGGACCCUGAUAUUAACCCAUUAACCAGUACAUUAUUACCAG